rnacentral:rRNA from 1 species
AGAGUUUGAUCAUGGCUCAGGAUGAACGCUGGCGGCGUGCCUAAUACAUGCAAGUCGUGCGGAAAGGCCACUUCGGUGGUACUCGAGCGGCGGACGGCAGAGUAACGCGUAGGAACAUACCCCAAACUGAGGGAUAACUGCUCGAAAGAGUAGCUAAUACCGCAUGUGAUCUUCGGAUUAAAGCUUCGGCGGUUUGGGAAUGGCCUGCGUCCGAUUAGCUUGUUGGUGAGGUAAUAGCUCACCAAGGCGACGAUCGGUAGCUGGUCUGAGAGGAUGAUCAGCCUGACUGGAACUGAGAACGGUCCAGACUCCUACGGGAGGCAGCAGUAGGGAAUUUUCCACAAUGGGCGAAAGCCUGAUGGAGCAACGCCGCGUGCAGGAUGAAUGCCUUCGGGUUGUAAACUGCUUUUAUUAGUGAAGAAUAUGACGGUAACUAAUGAAUAAGGGUCGGCUAACUACGUG